GGUACAGCCUCACAGAGGUUCAUGUUUCUCUCUUAAUUACCCCUCAGGCUCUCCUCUCAGCCUGUCUUUCAUUUCCACCACAGGCUUUCAGCCAGACAAUUUGAACAGAAUCUCAUCUGGAGUGUGUUAACUCUUCUCCCCCGUUGCUGGCAGAGAUCGAGUAUCAGCUCUGUAUUAGGACAAGUUGUUUUCACCUGUUGUGGAGGAAGGCACACAGAAAGCUGCCUCUAAGGUUUGCUUCUUGGGACUAGAGCAUGGAGAGUGAAGGGCUAAGCGUUCCUCAUUGUAAAGGCAAGCUGUGCGGUCUGGCUGUAGGAACAGCCCUGUUUCCAGCCCUGUGACCCCAUUUGUGGCGGGGGCUGUGCCUCUCACCCUGGACGUUCUCUCCCUGGCCUCACGUAGUUUCGUCACGUGCUUGCAGGCACUGCUCUGCGGUCUGCUGAACGCUCCAGAGGCCUCGAGCGUUCUCUUUCUGGUGCUGUCUGUCCUCACGGGUAUUCUGCGCUGGGUACUGAAGACACCCCAGUCUCUCUCAACUCUCAGCUUGGUCUUUCAGCUGAAGCUGUUUGCCAGCCUCUGCCUUCCUUCCCAUUCCUCACACGGCAGCCUGGACUCUCUCUCCAGGCCGUGAGGUAGGGCAGUUGUAGGGCUCACUCCGUUUUGUUUUCUGUCGCUCGUG
ensembl:lncRNA